UUGAAUGCAGAAGAGUUGGCACUGUAUGUUGUCUCCUGAGAAUGCUUAUCAAAUAUCAGCACUGCUGCUAGAACUAUGGAGAAACUGAAAAGUUGAAGAUGCUUCCUAAGGCCACAGGGUAAGAUUGAAUUUCACAUGAACUUUUUCUACAAGAUUUUGGAUGAUGACU